rnacentral:rRNA from 1 species
GACGAACGCUGGCGGCGCGCCUAACACAUGCAAGUCGAACGAGAGAUGAGGAGCUUGCUCUUCAAAUCGAGUGGCGAACGGGUGAGUAACGCGUGAGGAACCCUGCCUCGAAAGAGGGGGACCAACAGUUGGAAACGACUGCUAAUACCGCAUAAGCCCACGGCUCGGCAUCGAGCAGAGGGAAAGGAGUGAUCCGGCUUUGAGAUGGCCUCGCGUCCGAUUAGCUAGUUGGUGAGGUAACGGCCCACCAAGGCGACGAUCGGUAGCCGGACUGAGAGGUUCGAACGGCCACAUUGGGACUGAGACACGGCCCAGACUCCUACGGAGGCAGCAGUGGGGAAUAUUGCACAAUGGGGGAAACCCUGAUGCAGCGACGCCGCGUGAGU